AAUGAACGCUGGCGGCGUGCUUAACACAUGCAAGUCGCACGAGAACGCUUCAGCUUGCUGAAGCUAGUAAAGUGGCGUACGGGUGAGUAACGCGUGGGUAAUCUAUCUCUGAAUUGGGGAUAACAUUGCGAAAGCGAUGCUAAUACCGGAUAAUAUCCAUUAAACCUUGGUUUUUUGGAUCAAAGGUGGCCUCUACAUGUAAGCUACUGUUUGGAGACGAGCCCGCGUACCAUUAGCUUGUUGGUAGGGUAACGGCUUACCAAGGCAACGAUGGUUAGCUGGUCUGAGAGGAUGAUCAGCCACACUGGAACUGACACACGGUCCAGACUCCUACGGGAGGCAGCAGUGAGGAAUUUUGCGCAAUGGGGGAAACCCUGACGCAGCAACGCCGCGUGAGUGAUGAAGGCUUUCGGGUCGUAAAGCUCUGUC
rnacentral:rRNA from 1 species